CUACAUGAUGACACGACACAUUUUGUUAUAUUUUGGCACCUCUUAUGUUAGGCCUUCCUUCGGGAAAGCCAAUGAAUUAACUGGACUUCUGAUC
rnacentral:snoRNA from 1 species